CCCCCGCCUGCUCCCGAACGGCCCCCUUCCCCGCAGCAUCCAGGCUGCGGGCUGGCGGCGCGGGGCCGGCCGGGUGCAUGGGGCAGGCGAGCCCGCUGCCUGCCUGGCGUUGCGGGGGGGCCCGGCACCAUGAUGAAGUUUCGGUUCCGGAGGCAGGGGCAGGACCCCCAGCGGGAGAAGCUCAAGCUGGAUCUCUUCGCCUUCAACAAGACUGUGGAACAUGGGUUCCCCAACCAGCCGAGCUCUCUGGCCUACGACCCCAAGCUGCGAAUUAUGGCUGUUGGCACCAAAUCGGGAGCUGUGAAAAUAUACGGCGCUCCAGGAGUGGAGUUCACCGGCUUGCACAAGGAGACUGCUGCCGUCACGCAGAUGCACUUUUUGCCUGGACAAGGUCGGCUGCUGUCCUUGCUGGAUGACAACACCCUGCACCUGUGGGAGAUCGACCAGAAGGAUGGCUAUUCACACUUGGAGGAGACCCGCAGCUUCAUCCUCCCGGGCCGACCAGGGUUCGACAGCACUAACUCUCCUCCCAGCAUUACCCGGGUGACGGUGAUCCUGCUGAAAUCUGCCUGCGAUGUGGCCUGCCUGGGCACAGAAGGGGGUGGCGUGUACUUCCUGGAGCUCUCUGGCUUAACGUUGCUGGAGGAUAAAACCCUGUAUCAAGAGGAGAUCAUGCAGAGUGUGCCAGACGAUUACCGCUGCGGGAAGGCUCUUGGGCCAGUAGAGUCUCUGCAGGAACAUCCUCAAGACUCCUCCAAGAUCCUGAUUGGCUAUAGCAGGGGGCUGAUGAUCGUGUGGGACCAGAGCACCAGAAAUGUCCACCACCUCUUCCUGGGCAAUCAGCAGCUGGAGAGCCUUGGCUGGGAGCGGAGCGGCAGGACGGUGGUGAGCUCGCAUAGUGAUGGAGGCUACAUGGUGUGGUCCAUCAACAGUAGUUGCUAUAAGACCCUGCAGCCACUCAUGUCAACUAUCCCCUACGGUCCGUUUCCCUGUAAAGCCAUCAACAAAAUCCUGUGGAGAACCUGUGAAUCUGGAAAUCACUUCAUCAUCUUCAGCGGUGGCAUGCCCCGGGCCAGCUACGGGGACCGGCACUGUGUCAGCAUCCUGCAGGGCCAGAGCCUGGUCACCCUGGACUUCACUUCGCGCGUGAUCGACUUCUUCACCGUGCACCACACCGAGCCGCAGGAGGGUAGGCGGCCCGCUCUUCGGAACCGAGCGCGUCUCGGUCUCCCUCCCCAGCCUGACAUCUCGCUGCUCUGCCUUCUAGAGUUCGAUAACCCGAGUGCCCUGGUGGUCCUGGUGGAGGAGGAGCUGGUGGUCCUCGACCUGCAGACGCCUGGCUGGCCUACGGUUCCUGCCCCCUACCUGGCACCCCUCCAUUCCUCCGCUAUCACCUGCGCCUAUCACAUCUCCAACGUCCCCCUGAAGCUGUGGGAGCGAAUCAUCAGCGCUGGAGAGCAGCAGGGCCCCCUGCACCCUUCUGUGAACUGGCCGAUCAGCGGAGGGAAAAACUUAGCCCAAGAACCCACCCAGAGGGGCCUUCUUCUCACGGGGCACGAGGAUGGCACGGUCCGCUUCUGGGACGCCUCGGGAGUGUCCUUGCGUCCGCUGUACAAACUGGGCACGGCCAACAUCUUCCAGACUGACUGCGAGCACGACAGCCUCAACCAGGCCAGCGAGGAGGAGUGGCCUCCCUUCCGCAAGGUUGGCUGCUUUGAUCCGUACAGCGACGACCCGCGGCUGGGCAUCCAGAAGAUUGCGCUGUGUAAAUACACGGCCCGGAUGGUGGUGGCUGGGACUGCUGGACAGGUGCUCGUCAUGGAGCUGAGCGAUGAGAAGUCGAAUCACAUGAUCAACGUGGCCACGGUGGACCUGCUGCAGGACCGGGAGGGCUUCACCUGGAAGGGGCAUGACCGGCUUACCCCCAAGAACGGCUCCCUGACCUUCAGCCCAGGCUUCCAGCCCAGCGUGCUGGUGCAGUGCAUGCCGCCGGCUGCCGUCACCGCCGUGACACUGCACUCUGAGUGGAACCUGGUGGCCUUCGGCACCAGCCAUGGCUUCGGGCUCUUCGACUAUUACCGACGCGACCCGGUGCUGGCCAGGUGCACGCUCCACCCCAACGACUCCCUGGCCAUGGAGGGGCCCCUCUCCCGAGUGAAGUCUCUGAAGAAGUCCCUGCGCCAGUCCUUCCGCAGGAUCCGCAAAAGCCGAGUCUCCGGCAAGAAGAGAGUCGUUGCCAACAGCUCCUCCAGCAAGGUGCAGGAAGCCAAUGCCCAGCUGGCCGAGCAGGCCGGCCCCACCGACGUGGAGAUGACUCCCGUGCAGAGGCGGAUCGAGCCCCGGUCAGCCGACGACUCGCUCUCGGGGGUGGUGCGCUGCCUGUACUUCGCUGAUACCUUCCUCCGAGAUGCCGCACACCACGGGCCCACCAUGUGGGCUGGGACCAACUCGGGCUCCGUGUUCGCCUACGCUCUGGAGGUCCCGUCCCAGGAGAAGUUCUCGGAGCGCUCGGUGGAAGCGGUGCUGGGCAAGGAGAUCCAGCUGAUGCAUAGGGCGCCGGUGGUGUCGAUCGCGGUCCUGGACGGGCGGGGGAACCCUCUCCCGGAGCCCUACGAGGUGUCCCGGGACCUGGCCAAAGCCCCCGACAUGCAGGGCACCCAUUCUGUGCUCAUCGCCUCGGAGGAGCAGUUCAAGGUGUUCACGCUGCCAAAAGUCAGCGCCAAGACCAAGUUCAAGCUGACGGCCCACGAGGGCUGCCGGGUGCGGAAGGUGGCGCUGGUGAGCUUCACCAGCCUGGCGUGCGAGGAUUACACGGAGAACGGCCUGGCGUGCCUCACCAACCUGGGGGACAUCCACAUCUUCACGGUGCCCAGCCUGCGGCCGCAGGUGCACUAUGACUGCAUCCGCAAGGAGGACAUCAGCGGCAUCGCCUCAUGUGUCUUCACCAAGCACGGGCAAGGCUUCUACCUGAUCUCGCCUUCCGAGUUCGAGCGAUUCUCCCUGAGCGCCCGGAACAUCACAGAGCCGCUCUGCUCGCUGGAGCUCGUCCGGCACCACGGCACCACCUGUCUCGGCCGCGAUUUCACCGGGACACCGAAACUGACGCAGGCCAACGGGACUCCCGUGCUGCAGGACUCAGAGGCGAACGGCUCCCCCAGCGACGGCACCCGGACGCCUGAGGAACCCCCGGCGCCCACUGACUCGCCAAACAGCCCAGAGAGCCCCCUGGACACCACCGGGGACAUCACCGUGGAGGAAGUGAGAGAUUUCCUGGCGUAAGUUUGGGCUCUGGGAAGUCACUGGUGCCACGAGCCUGAGUGUUCUUGGCUGGAGGGCUCCACUCUGGGGCCUGGCAGCGUCAGCUGUGCCGUUGUUGCUCCCUGGACAUAGUCAGCAUCUAGGCUGGGGGAUGUUUACAAGACAGAGGAGUUCCCCGUCUCCCAGGCUCCAGUGGCUUUGUUCACCUUCCCCGCACACAGCCCCGCCCGGCCGUGCCGAGGGAUUGAAGCGCGCACUUGAUGAUUGCAAACCGCUUGCGACCGGAAUCCGGGGAGAUGACGCUGGCGCUCCUCCGGGGGGCGCUGUGCAUGCACAGGGCUGCCCACCCUGAGGCCAGAGCUCCCUGCAGCGUUGGAUGGGAGAGGUGGUGAAACCACUAGCCAUGCUGCGCCUUGAGGGUGGCAGAGGAUUUUCACCCUGGUCUCUUCCCCAGGGCCCACCCCCGUCCCUAGCUAUAAGGGUCCUGCAUCCCGGUCAAACCCGGGCUGUACGGACAAUGCAGCCUCUCUGCUGGGAGCCCCUUGGCCAGGCGCAUGGAGAGCCUGUGAAAUAAGGCUGGUCAAGGGGGUCCCAGCGCAUGUAUGCACAUCUCCCUCCUUCCCCCCCAUGGGGCUGGGCUUGUGCAAUGCUGGACGGCCUCCUGCCCCAGCUAGGGGUCGCUCUGUGCAUACCACAGCCUGGAAUCAGCCCUGGCCAACAGCACGGCUGGCCUUGGGCCCGCUCAUGAGCUAGUUUGCUGUCUGCACGCAGUGCUGCGGGAGCCUUGCUCCUUCAGAUGGGAGGCUUCAGUGCGCAGCCAAGAUCCGGAGAGCUCAUCUCCGCGGGCAGCUCAGCGAUCCUGCCCAGUCGGCCUCUCCAGCGGGCAUCAACGGGAGCGACUGGGGGUGGGGACCUUCCCAAGGAGCUGGACUCCGUCCCCAGACCAAGCUGUCCCCAUUUGCGGGGAAGCCGCUUGGCGUGUCCCACGUUUGGCCUCGGAUGAGGGCCUGCGUUGUCCUGCUCUGGUGGGGCACAUGCAGGUGGGUGAUUCGACCAGCAUCCCCUGCCAAGCGGGAGCAAUGGAUCGUCUUGGCUUGCCCUUAACGUCCGGGAGGCUGGGGGGGUGUCCGGAGCCCAGGAGCUCUUCGCUCAGCCGUGCUGGCCCAGCGGCUGGGGGGCGUCUCUGGGCCAGCUCCCGGCCGUGCCUGGGACCGAACGGUCUGUGUUAGCGUGUCUGUCUUCCAGCUCCUCGGAGGAAGCGGAGAGGAACCUGAGGAACGUGAGCGAGGAGGAGGCCCACUCUCCAGGGAUUCUGAUUAAAUGAGGGACCGUGCCGGCUCGUCUCCGCGCCUGGAUUCCACGGACACAAGACUUGACUGAGCCAAGCUGUCGGCUUCACUUUUCUCCCCAGAGACCCUCCGCGUAACUUAGACUCGCCUCUUCUCUCUAAUAUCUGGCCGGGAAGCUGCAGCGUGACGCCGCCCCCCACCUCUCUGCCCCGGUUCGAAGGUUCUCUCUCCGCCAAGCCGAGCCGCCUUCAGCCAGCGGGCCCAGCGCACUGCAACACUACAGCUUUGCCUCCCCCUCUCCCCCCAAAGCAAAUACCGGACUUGGGGCUGCGGGGUGAGAUUGCUGCAUCUGCCUGGCCUAGACCGGGAGGUAAUGCAUCCAUCUCCAGGGACCCCAUUGCUGGAGCGCAACAUCACACGGACGCCUGGGGGAGGGUUGGACGCAGUCUGGUCUGGGGUUGUUUUUUUUCCCCUUCUCCUCUGCUGAGCUCCCAGAAGGACUCUGCUCUGGGGCAGGAGGGGGGAAUAGGGACAUGGCUUGGCCUGGGGGAGCGUUUACAUGUUUACUCCUCUCUCGAGCAGCUCUUUCAAUACUUCGACUUUCCACGGAACCGGCUGGCCUGCCGCAGACAGCAAGUCCGUGAGUGCUGGCUGGACUCGCCUUAACACCCGUCUGCCACUAGGGGGCCCUCUUGCUCAAUACCGGAUUGAUAUUGAUUUCUCAGUGGUGGUGACGGCGUUUCCCCCCCCGGCCCCCCAAUAAACUCCACAGCAUCUCGCUGGCACUGGAGGUGAAUCAGCCACGCUAGGGUCCAGCUCCCUUCCUAGCACCUUUCCUUCCUCCUGGGGGGCAGGAGAGCCAAGUUCCUGCUCUGGGUUAGCAGCCUUUAUUUUAGGGGCCUGGUUGCCUCUAGGGCUCUUCAUCUUCCAUCUUCACAGCUGGCUCCAGCUGGGUUCCCCCCCAGUGAACACCUUUAAAUGAAGGAGACCGGGGCGGAGCCAGUCAGCACCAGGUGUGGCUCGCCCAAGAUGGGACCCUGCCAUGCUGAUCCAGGUGUGGGGGACCCAAGGCCAGUGCCUUCAAACAGGCGUGCCUAAGAGGCAGAUGCCAAAACAAGGGGCUGUAGACUCUUUCUCCUUUUCCCCCCCCCCCCAUUGCGGUGCUGAGCAGUUGUCUCCUGAGCUCACCGGUGGUUACAAGUGCACGGCACCUCUGGAAAACGGUCCCGGCAAUUACGCACUUUGGUUUCCAAUGCCUCUGGACGAAAACGGCCCCAGACGUUUGCCUGUCUGUGCUAAGGCCAUUUCCAUGGAGUUGUGAAUCUACAGGCUGCUCACCGCCUCAGCCCGGCGUGAGACGGGGCCUGAGUUCUGCUGGAGGGGAGGGUCCCUUCCUCUGGUUUCAACCAGGCUUUGCAAUAAAACAGGGGUCCAGCCAACUCCUGCCGCUUCAGGGCAAAGCAUCCUCUGAAGUGGCUUCCUGCACAGCCUGCUUUUAACAUGGGCCACCCGACAGCCCCUGGCCCAAGUUACGCUUUUGAAACUUCCCCGUCCACUGGGCUGAAAGGUGGCUGCCGGUCAGGGACGUUCAUUCCCAGAUCAAAUGCCUGUUGAUCAGAAGGCUUGUUCCUGGCAAUCCGGUCAGUUUCAGCGGGGAUAUUUUAAUCCAUUUCCUUAGGAUCCUGUUUUUCCUUUAGUGCCACUUGAACUCUGCACGGGUGGGACGAGGCUUUUGGAUGGGGCAGGGGGCGGCUCGGUGAAUGUUGAAGAUGGUUUGUUUUGACUUGGUCAAACCUAAAAUUGAGGUGCAGGGGGAGGCCCAGAGAGAGCACUGAAGAGCUCAGCCUGAGCAGCUGUUGAGGGGUCGGUCCUGUUUCCAGCAGUAUUAGUUUCCUUAGUCGCUCUGAGCUGGGGUGUAGAGCAAAGUACGGUGGCCGCUGGGGAUUCCUGUCUCCAAACUGGAUUGGAAGGUGACUUCUGGGCCCGAAGGGGCCAGCUGGCUUGGGCUUUCCUAGGGCUGAAUGCUCCGGCCUUCGGAGCGUUAUGGCAAAGCCUCUCCCCGCGGGGCUGGGAAGGAGGAAGCGGAACUGAUCAAGCCAGGCCCAGGGCUAAAAUCUGGGCUGGCUUCCACAACAAUCUCUGGCUGCCAUCUCUCUGCUUUGAGCUUUCCAUUCGUGGCUGGGGAACAUCCCCUGCUCCGCUCUGUUCUUCCCACUGGGAGGGGGGAAUCUCGCGGCCAGGUCAGCUCUUGGUGGUUCCACUUGCCUGCAUCCCAAGCUUUAUCCCCUGAGCUCUCUCUUGUGUUCAGGGUGCGCACUCGCUCCCAGCGUCACUAGUAGGCAUUGGCUUCCCCCCACAUUGCAAGGGCUGGAGGCCUGGAGCUGGAGACCAGGGCAGGCCCGGGAUAGAGCGAACGCCAUACCCCGUCAGUGCCUGAUCCAGGCUGCUUUCCUCUUUCCAAAGUGCCAAAGGGCCUGUUGGGCCCUGACUCCCAGAGGCCUGAAAGCCCUGGUACCUGAGCUGUUGUAGGAGUUACAAGGGCUGGGAUGGGGGCAUCCGCCUGCAGCCCCCUCACCAUGCCUUUAUGGGUCAUCAGCCCCACCUCUUACCAGCACAAGCAAAUGCCCAUCUCCCCUCGGCCGGCCUGGGAAUGGCACGUGGCUGCCUUGUCACAUGGCCCAUGGUGCCAAAACAGCUCUGGGCCCACCCCGUUCUCUCUGCGGCUCUUUGGGAGGUGCAUGUCCCUGAAUCUGAGCCUGGUACCAAGAGAGCAAAGACUGUUACUCGGCAGCGUGUCGGGGUGGGAUGGGGGCUUGGUUAGUCAGCGGCUCAUACUUUGAGUCUUUGAAGGAACUGGCUGGGCUGGGGCAGAGGAAGAAUCUGAACUGCACAAACUCUCUGGACCCCUCCCGCUUCUGUUUGUGAAUAGUAUUUUUCUACACUCGAUCUUUGCCGCCGAAACUGAUACUUUGUAUGGCUAUUUUGGUACUAGAUCCGUGGGGGCAGGAGGGAGGGAGAAAUGUAGUUGCGAUGGGCCAUGGGGUGCCCUGCAGUCUAACCCAGCCCUGUGGGGUUCUAGUGGCCCCAGUAGAACAUCCCCCCCGUGUCUUUUUGGUAAGAUGAAUUUAGCAUUGUCUAGUUAUGAAAUACUGGUUUUUAAUAUUGAAAAUAAAGCAUUUAAUAUCUCUUAA